rnacentral:ncRNA from 1 species
AUAGUAAGCCUGAUAAAAAUUUACCGAAAAUACAUAUUUGCUUGCAUGAAUCAUGCUGAUCCUUCGAUGUCGGCUCUUCCUAUCAUUGUGAAGCAGAAUUCACCAAGCGUUGGAUUGUUCACCCACUAAUAGGGAAUUUUGAGCUGGGUUUAGACCGCAGUUUUACCCUACUAAUGAAUACAGUAAUUACUGAAGUACAAUCUGGCCGUUGCUAUGGUAAUCCUGUUUAGUACGAGAGGAGCCGUAGGUUCAGACAACUGGUAUAUGUGCCUGGUCGAAAGGCCAAAGAUGCGAAGCUACCAUCUGAGAGAUUAAGACUGAACGACUCUAAGUCUGAAUUCCGUGCAUAUCUGCAACGGUACAUUCCGUAUCCGACAAGUGGCUGGGCAAGCUUACGUAUUCCUUUUGGUGUCUGAACUAUACCGNNNNNNNNNNGUCUGGUGUUACACCAGAGCGAUGACCAUAAACUAUGCUCCGGAUUUCGGGGUGUAGGGGUCGAUACGAUAUCUAAUUGUGGUAUGAGCGUGAGGAUACUAAAUCGUUUGUAGAAGACUUAAUGUUUUGUCGGGGAGACGUAAGUGCUCGAGCAGCUAUUACACUGCGAGGCAUCGAGUCCUAUCCCUGCUUGACGUAAUGAAAA